rnacentral:lncRNA from 1 species
UAAAGGGCCAGCUCAAGUGUGUAUGUGUGUGUUCCUGGCUACCAACAGGCACUUAUCCUGGAUGAGAAUGAGGAAUAUGAAUGAAGCAAAAUUGGUCCUGAGUUAACGGUUGAUGAAGUCAGGUCUUUUCUGGGCAGGUGGGAACAAAGGACAUUUAAAAUCAUUUAAAAUCCCCGUGAAAUUAAGUGCUGGAAACUCAAACACCUUCAGAGCCCAUGAAGCAGGACUCAAGAUAGAGAAUGGAGAAAAAACUAAGGAUCAUAUUUGUGACUGAUUCUAUGGCUGAAGUUACCCGUUUGUGACCCCUGGUAGAUAGCCUCUAGUGGAUUUAAAUGUUGCUAAAAAAAACUUUAUUGGAUGUAAAAUUCAAACUGUGAUUAUUUUUAAAAUGCAACAAAUGUGAUUUAAUCAAACUCAACUGCAUAGUCAGUCCAACUGGUUCUCCUGAAAGUGGUUCUUAACUGGCCUGAAACUUCCCAAUGUCAUCAAAAAGGGUGACCAUAUAUAAGUCCAGGCUUGUUUUGCUGACAUGCUUUGGACGACAUGAGAACGUAAAUAACGGCCAUUUUUUUCUUUAGCUAUCCGAAAAUAAAGCUAGUAUGUGCUUACAAAUAGCUGUGGAGAAGAAGAGAAUUUAUAUAUUCAAGCAAUCUGUGAUGAACAUAGCAUUAUACCUCCAGAGAGCAUUUACGAGUCACUAGAACUCCGCUAUAUAAACUAUAAACCACUUACUACUAUCUUUUCUUAAGUAAAAAGAAAUAAAAAUUUAGGGGACAUUUUGUGACAUAUAUUUUUUAUAUUACCAGUAAGUGCUCUAAAAUUCAAAAAGCUUCUUAAAAAUUUUGCUCUUGUAAUAAUGUUUGAAAAUAUUUCCACUUCUCUCUUACCCUCCAUCAUACACAGAGAAACAUUUGCACAUUUACUUCCCCACACCUGAAAAGUACUUAAAUUUUAUAGAUAACAUCUAUUAGAACCCAGUAAAACCCUACAAAUACUGUAGCUCUGUAGGAAAUUCUGUUUUAAAUAUUCAAACAUAGUAUCCAACUUUACUAUUUCUCAGCAAAUAUGUGGUUUAUAGGCACAGAAGCAGCAAAAGCUAGCAGUUCACAACCCAUAAGUUAUAAACCUAUGCGUAAGCUUACCAUUUCCUUUAAACUUGAUGUUAAGUUUUCUGGUGCAUUUUCAAUAACUUUUAAGGGUCAAAUAAUGGUGUGUACCUCAUUUAAAAUUAAAUAAUUAUUUUUAUUUUUCUUGAUGUCUCUUCUGAUCUUGAAAAUAGCUGAUAGAACAGCAUUGUUUGAUGUUGCUUAUCAAAUUUUAUUUGCAAUAUUAUAGACUUAGAAUCAUAGAAGGAGGAAAAAAUUGCUAGAUAUAUUAUGUACCACACUCCAUAACAAAAUAAAGAUGCAAAAAUAAACCAAAGGAGGAGAAUAAACCGACUAAGGAUAUAUGACAGCUUCAGAAUGAAUUAAGGUUUGAAGCACACAAAAAUCCAGACGCACAGCAGAAAGUGUUCAACUAGGUAUUUAGAAACUUUGAUUUCUUCAGUUAUCUAAGUGACCUGUGGAAGUCAUUUAUGGUUACACUGCCUUUCAGUAAAUCCUUUGCUGCAUCAGCUUAUUCUCAUAACAGAGAUCAAAUUAAUUUCUUAAUCUGCAAUAUAAGAGUAACAGCUACUGGCUGGCCAAAAUAAUGGGUCAAGGUUACAUGAGGCUGCUCAGGCUAGAUAUAAGAGAAGGAACCAUUAAAAUCCAUUAGGUGACAGUUGGUCCCAAGCAACUGGCAGUAGCGAAAAUGAUAAAAGAUAUUGCUACAGAACAAGUGAAAACAAUUUAAACACAUUCUAGGUGGAACAGUCAAGAGGAUCACAUGAAAUACAGGGAGAGUGGGCAAGGAGGAUAUGAGCCAUUGUGGAAAACAGUAUGAAGGUCUGUCAAGAAAUUAAACACAGAAUCACCAGGCUGAGUAUGGUGGCUCACACCUGUAAUCCCAGCAAUUUGAGAGGCUGAGGUAGGCAGAUCACCUGAUGUCAGGAGUUUUGAGGACAGCCUGGCCAACAUGGUGAAACCCCGUCUCUAUCAAAAAA